rnacentral:rRNA from 1 species
CAGUCGCCGCGGUAAAACCAGCACCUCGAGUGGUCAGGAGGUUUAUUGGGCCUAAAGCAUCCGUAGCCGGUUGCAUAAGUUUUCGGUUAAAUCUAUGCGCUUAACGUAUAGGCCGCCGAAAAUACUGUGCAGCUAGGGAGUGGGAGAGGUACACGGUACUCGAUAGGAAGGGGUAAAAUCCUUUGAUCUAUUGAUGACCACCUGUGGCGAAGGCGGUGUACCAGAACACGUUCGACGGUGAGGGAUGAAAGCUGGGGGAGCAAACCGGAUUAGAUACCCGGGUAGUCCCUGUCUCUUAUAC